UACGGGGGGGGGCAAGCGUUGUUCGGAAUUACUGGGCGUAAAGGGCGCGUAGGCGGCCUGUUAAGUCGAACGUGAAAUCCCUCGGCUUAACCGGGGAACUGCGUCUGAUACUGGAUGGCUUGAGUUUGGGGAGAGGGACGCGGAAUUCCAGGUGUAGCGGUGAAAUGCGUAGAUAUCUGGAGGAACACCGGUGGCGAAGGCGGCGUCCUGGACCAACACUGACACUGAUGAGCGAAAGCCAGGGGAGCAAACGGG
rnacentral:rRNA from 1 species